GAUGAACGCUGGCGGCGUGCUUAACACAUGCAAGUCGAACGAAGCACUUUAUUUGAUUUCCUUCGGGACUGAUUAUUUUGUGACUGAGUGGCGGACGGGUGAGUAACGCGUGGGUAACCUGCCUUGUACAGGGGGAUAACAGUUGGAAACGGCUGCUAAUACCGCAUAAGCGCACAGCAUCGCAUGAUGCAGUGUGAAAAACUCCGGUGGUAUAAGAUGGACCCGCGUUGGAUUAGCUAGUUGGUGAGGUAACGGCCCACCAAGGCGACGAUCCAUAGCCGACCUGAGAGGGUGACCGGCCACAUUGGGACUGAGACACGGCCCAAACUCCUACGGGAGGCAGCAGUGGGGAAUAUUGCACAAUGGGCGAAAGCCUGAUGCAGCGACGCCGCGUGAGCGAAGAAGUAUUUCGGUAUGUAAAGCUCUACCAGCAGGGAAGAUAAUGACGGUACCUGACUAAGAAGCACCGGCUAAAUACGUG
rnacentral:rRNA from 1 species